ACACCACUAUUACACCAGACCCCAUAUUUUUGCUUCUGUGAGAGCUAUAAUAUUAAUAUUAGUGUUUUUUGGGUUUUUUUGCAUUGAAACCUAUUUAAUUGAAUUCCUAGACCCCAAAAAUGUGCACUUUGACACCAAUAUUAUGAUUAUAGCUCUAACAGAAGCAAAGAUACGGGGUCUGGUGUAUAAGUGGUUU